rnacentral:rRNA from 1 species
AUACGGAGGGUCCAAGCGUUAUCCGGAAUCAUUGGGUUUAAAGGGUCCGCAGGCGGUCAAUUAAGUCAGAGGUGAAAGCCCAUCGCUCAACGAUGGAACUGCCUUUGAUACUGGUUGACUUGAGUUAUACGGAAGUAGAUAGAAUAAGUAGUGUAGCGGUGAAAUGCAUAGAUAUUACUUAGAAUACCGAUUGCGAAGGCAGUCUACUACGUAUAUACUGACGCUGAGGGACGAAAGCGUGGGGAGCGAACAGGAUUAGAAACCCAAGUAGUCC